rnacentral:rRNA from 1 species
UUGAGUUUGAUUCCCUGCUCAGAACGAACGCUGGCGGCAGGCCUAACACAUGCAAGUCGAGCGCAGUCCUUCGGGACCGAGCGGCGGACGGGUUAGUAACGCGUGGGAACAUACCCUUUUCUACGGAAUAGCCUCGGGAAACUGAGAGUAAUACCGUAUAAGCCCUUCGGGGGAAAGAUUUAUCGGGAAAGGAUUGGCCCGCGUUAGAUUAGAUAGUUGGUGGGGUAAUGGCCUACCAAGUCUACGAUCUAUAGCUGGUUUUAGAGGAUGAUCAGCAACACUGGGACUGAGACACGGCCCAGACUCCUACGGGAGGCAGCAGUGGGGAAUCUUAGACAAUGGGCGCAAGCCUGAUCUAGCCAUGCCGCGUGUGUGAUGAAGGUCUUAGGAUCGUAAAGCACUUUCGCCAGGGAUGAUAAUGACAGUACCUGGUAAAGAAACCCCGGCUAACUUCGU